AAACACGUCAGUGCAUCAUCCAGCAACCACCCCGCUGCUGCCUUCACUCACACAAAUUAGGUUAAAUCCGUCCUUUUGAGAUCAGCAUCUGGAAGGCAAAGAACAAGGGGAAAUCUCUGGUGAAUACAGACAGCAACAGCAAGGCUGUAAGAACACCAGCACUGUCACCGCUCCCUCCCGUCCGCGUCACAGCGGGGUUUGCAACGGGGAGGCUUGUGCCCUGAGGUGGGACCAUCGCGGGGUCCCGAAGCUGCCCGUGCUGUCUAACAGGGCGGAGCGGGGGCAGCCGGGCGGAGCGGAGCGGGCCGGGCUGCGGUGGGCCGGGGCUUCUCGCCGGCGGCCGCGGGCGGGUCCGGGCGGGGCGGCGGCGAGAUGAGGGCGAGCCUGGGCCUCCUGUCCCUCCUGCUGGCGCUGGUGGGAGUUUCCAGCUUCGUCUUCCUCGUGGUGGCCAUCGCGACCGACUUCUGGUACAUCAUCGAUGCCUCCAAGCUGGAGACGUCGCGGAACGGCACGGACGCGCUGAGCUCGCACUCGGGGCUGUGGCGGACCUGCCGCGUGAGGAGCAAAUGUUACCCUUUGAUAAACCCCUUCUGGCAUGAGAAUGCAAACAUCACUGAUUCACACAGGCAGCUUUUAUACAUGCAUGGAACAUUUGUCAUCCUGAUGCCCCUCAGCCUGAUAUUGAUGAUUUUUGGAGGAAUGACCGGAUUCAUCAGUAUUCUUGCCAGGGCCUACCUGCUGCUUCUAAUGACGGGACUGCUUUUUCUUUUUGGAGCUCUUGUUACACUUACUGGGAUCAGUGUCUAUAUUGCAUAUUCAGCUGCUGCCUUUGAAGAAGCUGUCUGCCUCCUGAGGAGUAAAGAUCUCCUGGUAGAAGUGGACAUCAGGUUUGGCUGGUCGCUGGCCCUAGUCUGGAUCUCCUUUGUUGCAGAAGUGCUCACCGGGGCUGUGUUUCUCCUGGCAGCGAGAGUUGUGGGUCUGAAACGGCGAUGUGAGCAGGCGUUGUGAACAACAGAUCUAUUCUACAGUUUAUAUGAUGCUUUUGAAGUACCUGUGUCACGUGUGGACGGCAGGUUGGAGACCAAACAGGACAUGCUCUGUCCAUGCCUGUUGGUCAGCAAGGGUGAGGGAGCUGGAGUCUGCCCAGGACCUCUCUGCUGAGGUGACCACACGCCUGCCCGCUGAAGCUGGAUCUUUCAGACUCCAUCGCCACUGAGGACAAGGCACUAAAGUUAUUACUUGUAAAACUGUCAGAAAGGGAGGAACACAAGCCUGUAAGUAGGCAAAUUACCAUCAGUUAAUGAGUUACAGCUUGUCAGCCAAGAUCUCACAACUGAAUGUAUUUAUACCCUCAAGUCAUCUCCCACCACUCUUGAGAAUUAAAAUGCAUUUAUUCAGCACACCGCCUCUGCAGCCUGGUCCCAUUCGCAUGAUGGUUUCAUGUUUCAUUUGGAGCAGACCAGAGCUGAUGAACAGUGAAGUAUUAAAAAGUAGCAUCUUAGUCCUUGUGAUAGUCAAAGCUGGCUGAAAGACUCCACGGUUGGGGUUGGAGGGACGGAAGGCAGUUCCCCACAGGGCUUUUGGCCCAUUAUUUUCCUGUUUUCAUUUUUGCCAAGGACAAAGCAAACACUUGUCACGGAAGGCUGAGACUCUCUCAGUGUAAUGCUCCCCAGGUGUUGAAAGGAAUUUGUCUGCCAGUAGCUGAACAGCAUUUGCUAAUGGUUUAUGCUUCCAGACAACACAUCUGGCCGCUGAAGGAGCGAACGUUUCUCCAUCCAACCUGGCCUUCUCAAAUAUUUAUAAGCUAAUGUUGUCUGUAGUGCCUGCAGCAUGUAGAGAGGCUGAACGGAAUUGCACUGUGGAGGAGUCUGUUUCCACAGCCUUUUGGAAUUGGCUACAUCAGCACUGUGAAAACCCUUGGCAUCAUAAACCACAGCUCCUGCAUGACUAGUAUUAUACAGUGAAGCAUUUAAUUAUGCAAAAAAAAUCCACAUAAAAAGAAUUUUUUUAACUGUCAGGCAAAAUCCAUAGAAGGAACAAACUUUGUAGAACUUGCAAUAACACGUCUUUGGAGUUAUCUGCCUUUCUCUUUGUAAACAGUAUAUUACAGACAUGGCAACAGCUGCAGCCAGCAGACUUGGAAGCUCUAUCUCCUUCCUGUCUGUGGGAAACUUCACAUAUGACAGGACCUUGAUUUGGUCCAGGGCACUUCUGGUAAAACGGAAAAGUUCUGCAUAAGUAACUGAGAAGACCAGGCCUGUUUCAUUCCGAUGGGAGACCUAUUCGAUACAGUGUGCAGUGUGAAAGUAUAAAUAUUUCCUUCUCAAGACUUGGGAAUAAUGCAAUAUUUAAUAAAAACAGAAGAAGAAAGAAAUAGCUACAUGGUGCGUUCUGAGCCGACAGAGGUAUUCACAACCCUAUCUUUUAGAUUCAGACCUACAAGAUUGCCUCAUACUCAGAUAUUCAUUGCCUAAACUGCUGCUAUCAUUUAUGCAAACCCAAAGUGACUAUAAUUUAUGCAAACCCAAGUGACAGGACUUAUUACUGAGAGUUUCAUUUUGCUGAACAAGUGACAAAAAACCCCCCGUUUACUUGAAUCACUCAGUCCCCCUGAUCAUAUGCAUCAAGCAGACAUGCUGGUGUCAGUCCUGGAGUUCCCAGCACACAGCAGCAAGGAGGGUCUGAACCAGUUGGACCUGACGGUCCUGCAGGCAUCACUGAAAUAACAGGUGCAAACAAGUCAGACAUCGCCACCAAAGACCACGUCUUAAAGACAACUGUCGUGCCUGACUUUUGUGACUUGCCACAGAUGAACCUGUAAGUCAAAGUUGGUGUUAAUAAUCCAGCUGAAUAGCAACAUCUUUGGUGAAUGGGCUGAUUAACAAAAAGGCACAGUAUGGCGUCUUUAUUGUCCUGCUUGCGUGUCACAUUAGCUGCAGAGACAUGUCACUGUAGCUCUGUGCAGGGAGCUCUGCUGGGUUGGCUGCUUCUCAAAAGUGAGAUUUGUUAUUCUCCCUCAGAGUUGUCGGGCUCGCUGUGUGGGUAGCCAGGUGGCUGUUACAUCAGCCAUAUAAAUGAGAAAAAAGUCCACUUUCUAUGCAGAUAUCCAUUGAAAAACAAUGCCCAGACCUACCCUUCAGAGUCUGUCUCAGGCUCACUUUCCUGCUCUCCUGUUCACCAGAAAGUCCUUGUGCUCCUCCUCGGCAGCAAUAGCAGUGCAGCAGGACCCUCAGUCACCAUAACAACUGGGAUAUCUGUCUUAUAAUUCAAACUGCCCUCUCUAACUUCAAGGGCUUCUUCCUACACACAGUCUAGAGCUCAUCAAUCCUUCCCUGAGCAAUUCUACGUUCUUUGUUGGAGCAGUAACUCGCACACCCACUCUUUCUAAAGCUGCUUCUCUGCCAUUUGAUUUUCACAAGCCUGAUGAACUGUAUACUCACCCAUUUGGGAAGAGGAUUGAGUUUGAUACAGGUAAGCCUUAGUCUUUUCAAAGACCGGCUAACCCUGUGAUUAACCCCAUUGUCUUGGGUUUGCCUGUGGGAACGGUGGCCCCAAGGAGUUCAGAAAAUAAUCCCACAGAGACCAAACUGCUCACAUAGCAAAUCCCGUUGUAACUCCUAAUUCCUUUGGAAUUUAAACAACAUGAUAAGCAUUAAAACAUUAAAGGCUCUUAGAAAGCAGCAUGUCCCUCCAAAAGGACAAAUGCAUCCCCAAAAUCUUACUUAGCCACUAACUAACUUUGUGACAUUGGACUAACUUUUAUCAGUUUCUGCACAUCAUCUUGGCAGUGUUCCUACUCAAUUGCUUCGAGUUGAAUAAAUGACUUUACUAAACCUCCCCAAUAGCUCAUUUAGAGUCUGAAUCAUUUCCAUCAGAUUUUCUGUCAUUAUAUGUGGAGAUUUCAUCUGGCACCAUCAGUUGCAACCCAUACAAGCACUGGAAGUCAAUACAAAUAUUUUCUACUCAUUUGGUUAAAAUGCUGUUACUCUCUAAAUAGCCCUAUUACAUGUGAAAUAGGGAUACAGUAUAAAUUAGUGCUUGAAAAGGGUUUUGCAAUACACAUAAUCAUAACUUGCCAUCUCACCAAACUCAUUUAUAAAUGUUUAUCAUGACAUGAACACUCAACUAACUGUUAGUGAUUUGUAUGGAUGCAAUUUUAGUGUACAGAAGCAGUCCCUGGGGUAACAGCAUUCCCAGUUCUACAUUGCUGUGCUUUGCCUGAGCAGCCACUGCACGUCACUGUUGUUCCACACAGGAGAGUCAACAGAGCCUCAUUUGUGUGAGCAGGAAGCAGGACUUGGAGAGUCUCUUUGCUUUUUCAAUCAAGGGAAGAAAAUGUGCUACAAACCAAGGGAUGGAGCUUGCAGAAGUCAAGGAGGAUUUUUUUCCCCAGGACUGAAGGGAGGUCAUACCUGUCACUCCUGCUUUUCAUUUGCCUGUGCAAAAAGGCUUUAUCCAUCUUCUAUCUUUAAAGGUGUAAAAAGAGAAUGGUCAUUACCCAGGGAUACAAAGAUCCGGAGGGAAUGGCCUGCUCUUCACACGCCCUGUGUGAACCCUGACAAAUCACUAAACCUCUUGAUGCUCAAGUACUGCAGCACUGACACCAUACCCUGCCUCACCGCGUUACUGUGAGGGCUGAAAUUAAGGGUAUGAGAUACUCAGAUAUAACUGUAAGAGCAACAUCAUGUAAACCUCCUUAGAUGUGGAACAUUUUUUCCUUUCAAGUGAAGGGGAAAUUUUGGAGAGUUAGUCUGUCAUUUUAGAAAUAAAGAGCUUGAGAAUUUGGCAUGAUUGCUAAGCCUAAAAAGGCAGGUACAACCAGUGGUCUGAAUGAUGUUUUUCUAGAAGCACAACACUCCUAA